AUUGAACGCUGGCGGCAGGCCUAACACAUGCAAGUCGAACGAGCGGCGGACGGGUGAGUAAUGUAUGGGGAACUGCCCGAUGGAGGGGGCUAACUACUGGAAACGGUAGCUAAUACCGCAUACUAUCAGAUUCACCCAUAUGGGCUUAGCUAGUUGGUGGGGUAACGGCUCACCAAGGCGACGAUCUCUAGCUGGUCUGAGAGGAUGACCGGCCACACUGGAACUGAGAAAAGGUCCAGACUCCGACGGGAGGCAGCAGUGGGGAAUAUUGCACAAUGGGCGCAAGCCUGAUGCAGCCAUGCCGCGUGUAGGAAGAAGGCCUUAGGGUUGUAAAGUACUUUCAGCGGGGAGGCGUUACCCGCAGAAGAAGCACCGGCUAACUCCGUGCCAGCAGCCGCGGUAAUUC
rnacentral:rRNA from 1 species